AAUCAACGCUGGCGGCGUGCCUCAGACAUGCGAGUCGAACGCGAAACCUUCCUUCGGGAGGGGAGUAGAGUGGCGCACGGGUGAGUAACACGUAGGUAAUCUACCUUUGGGUGGGGAAUAACAGCCGGAAACGGCUGCUAAUACCGCAUAAUGCAGCGGCUCGACAUCGAGACAGUUGUUAAAGCGGGGGAUCGUAAGACCUCGCGCCUAAAGAGGAGCCUGCGGCAGAUAGCUAGUUGGUAAGGUAACGGCUUACCAAGGCGACGAUCUGUAGCCGGCCUGAGAGGGCGGUCGGCCACACUGACACUGACAUACGGGUCAGACUCCUACGGGAGGCAGCAGUCGGGAAUUUUGGGCAAUGGGCGAAAGCCUGACCCAGCAACGCCGCGUGAAGGAUGAAAUCCCUCGGGAUGUAAACUUCGCAAGAACGGGAAGAAUAAGUAGAAGCGAAUACCUUCUAUGAU
rnacentral:rRNA from 1 species